UGCACAAUGUUACAGCGCGAACUUUGAAAAGUGAAAAAACAAUACAUAUCCAUAUAUCUCAUGCAUGGAGAGCACACAUUCAAUUACCCAUUAUCGAUCGGUGAUAUUGUAUUAUCAAUGAUUAUCAACGUCUUCCAAAACAUUUCCAGUGCUUCUAGGAAAUACCAUAAAUCAUCGUGCUGGAAUCAGUAGCAAGGCAUUUCCUUUUGAAGCAUCGUCCUUGUCUCUAACUUUCCGGUGAUACCAUGUUCAAUACCGUGUUCGUCAACUAAUCGCAGUUAAAGGAAAAGAGAAACAGGAAGACAAAAGUUAUAAUGACCAUGAGCACAAAUCUUCUAGAGACCGGUGUAGUACUGUUUCACUAAGCUACGUUCACGUGAAGGUACGGGACUAGGGAAUAUAUCCCUUCAAAGGAUCCAAAGAUAAGCAGCUUCGGUAAGAGGAUAUAAUCCACUGAGAUCGGAAAAGUUCAACGAAGGGACAUCCGACGAUAAAGGCGAAGAGGAAGAAAAAGGAGAUACAGGAGAUGAACAUGUCCAAGAUAAAUUUAAUUCUAAUCGUAUCGAUGUUUGUCCUUGGCCGAACAUUGACUUUGUAAAUUCCGAUAUAAAUUGGAAAAUUUCUAACACGGUGUAUCGUGAGAACGAAGUUAAAUGGAUCAUCGAGACCUAUCGGGAAUAAUAAAAAUAAUAAGCAAAAAACAGAAAAUGACAUCGAGAAUAGAAACGAUUAUGAGAAUGGAAGGUUUAAUCAUGGAUUGAAGAACGAGCGCUGGAAAAUAGAAAUGAAAUCAAGCCAUAGUUAUUCGAUCAACAGAUCCACAUCGCACAAGUCGUAAGUUAUAAAUAUUGUAUGGAGAUUUUCUAUGAGAUUGAUUACCAUUUCUUUUAAUAACAAUAUUUUGAAUGCUUUUCGCAAAAAAUAUAUAAAUAUGAAUGUAUAAAUACCAACAAAAAUUUUCCUUUCGGAAAGAAGAUAAACACAAUUCGAUUUUUUCAAAGUGGAACGAUCGGAAAGAUACGAAUAUAGAGAAUGAGGAAGAGUGGAAUCACAGGAGAAAAAGGGAUCAUAAGGAGAAAAGUAAGAUAAAGGCCAAAGAAAUUUCCCUUUUACGGUAAUAUCAAUCCAAAGUUAUUGUUAACAUUGUGAAGAGGUAAACGAAGAUGCUACCCUCGUGGAUAUAUGUAAAAGAGGGAGUGGGACCAAACAGCGCAUGCUCGAGUUACUGCGGGGUGGUGGGGGAUAUGAUCCAUCAGCGGGAAUCGAAUGAAACGAUCAUUCUGUUUCGAGUCGUCCCAAAGGCACGUUCAUGGAGGCCCUUGGAGAUGGACGGUCGGGAGUAAUAUAAAAGCGCCUCACCAGUCGCGAUAAUGGCAACCAUCUGUAACAUUUUAAGCAACACGCUCUCGGAUAUAGUUUUCCAUGCGGUGUUACCACACACUUCGCGAGAAGUUAAUAUUCCUUAUAUACACCUCAAGAAGAGAGGACCGCAUAAUUCAAGGAACCAUUAAGGAGGAACAUCAAUGGCUACCACGUGCAUUUAUUCCUGGCAAUUUGCUGCGGCAUCGACAGAUGUCCGAUGUUUCCUCGUCGGAGUAGAAAGGAUGACCGAUCUGGCAACUGUCCAAAUCAAUCAUUUUUACUUUACAGAUAGCGAACGACCGCCAUUUCAAAAAGUUUGAAAUUUUCAUCUGUGGAAAGUGAAGGCAACCUGCAAAUUCAUUCAAAGGACUGGCUGUAUAAUAGCAAUAAUGAUCCCGCUGAAUAAUCAAUUGACACUGGUAAAUGAAGAUAAAAAAAAUUAAAAAAUUAAAUUAAAAUAUCUUAUCGAGAGUGUUGUUUGAAAUGAUAUAGACGGUAUAGUCCAUUAUCGUGUCUGCGGAGGUGCUUAUAUAUAGUUCCAUCUUUUUGUGUCUCCAAGAACCUGUAUGGGAGUUGACAAGACUCAGGAUCAAUAUUGUACUCCUAUUUAAAGAAUUCAAUAAAUUCAAUUAUCAAAUUAAA